AUUGAACGCUGGCGGCAUGCCUUACACAUGCAAGUCGAACGGUAACAGGUCUUCGGAUGCUGACGAGUGGCGAACGGGUGAGUAAUACAUCGGAACGUGCCCGAGAGUGGGGGAUAACGAGGCGAAAGCUUUGCUAAUACCGCAUACGAUCUCAGGAUGAAAGCAGGGGACCGCAAGGCCUUGCGCUCACGGAGCGGGCCAUGGCAGAUUAGGUAGUUGGUGGGAUAAAAGCUUACCAAGCCGACGAUCUGUAGCUGGUCUGAGAGGACGACCAGCCACACUGGGACUGAGACACGGCCCAGACUCCUACGGGAGGCAGCAGUGGGGAAUUUUGGACAAUGGGCGCAAGCCUGAUCCAGCCAUGCCGCGUGCAGGAUGAAGGCCUUCGGGUUGUAAACUGCUUUUGUACGGAACGAAAAGACUCUGGUUAAUACCUGGGGUCCAUGACGGUACCGUAAGAAUAAGCACCGGCUAACUACGUGCCAGCAGCCGCGGUAAAAC
rnacentral:rRNA from 1 species